rnacentral:rRNA from 1 species
CCUACGGGAUGCAGCAGUGGGGAAUUUUGGACAAUGGGCGCAAGCCUGAUCCAGCAAUGCCGCGUGAGUGAAGAAGGCCUUCGGGUUGUAAAGCUCUUUUGUCAGGGAAGAAACGGCGGAGGCUAAUAUCCUUUGCUAAUGACGGUACCUGAAGAAUAAGCACCGGCUAACUACAUGCCAGCAGCCGCGGUAAUACGUAGGGUGCAAGCGUUAAUCGGAAUUACUGGGCGUAAAGCGUGCGCAGGCGGUUUUGUAAGUCUGACGUGAAAGCCCCGGGCUCAACCUGGGAAUUGCGUUGGAGACUGCAAGGCUUGAAUCUGGCAGAGGGGGGUAGAAUUCCACGUGUAGCAGUGAAAUGCGUAGAGAUGUGGAGGAACACCGAUGGCGAAGGCAGCCCCCUGGGUCAAGAUUGACGCUCAUGCACGAAAGCGUGGGGAGCAAACAGGAUUAGAUACCCGCGUAGUC